rnacentral:misc_RNA from 1 species
GUGAAUCAUCGAAUCUUUGAACGCAUAUUGCACUCUCUGGUAUUCCGGAGAGUAUGCCUGUUUGAGAGUAAUUAAAAAGAAUCUUUAACCAAGUUUUUUUGGUCAAAGUAAAUGAGUUCUUCGCGUUGAUAGCGGUAGCUUGAAAUAAAUGGUAGUCUCAGUUUAGUCGAGACGCGUAAUUAUAUUAUUGCACGGAAUCUUUAUUAUGUUACUAUCAAUUUUUUAUGCAUACAAUUUUGGUUUGUAUGCUAACAAUAC